ensembl:piRNA 21ur-12754 ncRNA
UUUCCCGUUAACUUUCUCUGU